rnacentral:rRNA from 1 species
GUGUGCCGCAGCAAUGCGGUCUCAGCAAAGAGUCCCUCCCGACUGUUUACCAAAAACACAGCACUUUGCCAACUCGUAAGAGGAAGUAUAAGGUGUGACGCCUGCCCGGUGCUCGAAGGUUAAGAGGAUGCGUCAGUCGCAAGAUGAAGCGUUGAAUUGAAGCCCGAGUAAACGGCGGCCGUAACUAUAACGGUCCUAAGGUAGCGAAAUUCCUUGUCGGUUAAAUACCGACCUGCAUGAAUGGCGUAACGAGAUGGGAGCUGUCUCAACCAGAGAUUCAGUGAAAUUGUAGUGGAGGUGAAAAUUCCUCCUACCCGCGGCAAGACGGAGAGACCCCGUGGACCUUUACUACAACUUAGCACUGCUAACGGGAAUAUCAUGCGCAGGAUAGGUGGGAGGCUUUGAAGUAAGGGCUUU